rnacentral:tRNA from 1 species
GCCUGGGUGGCUCAGUCGGUUGAGCGUCUGACUUUGGCUCAGGUCAUGAUCUCACAGCUCGUGAGUUCAAGCCCCGCGUCAGGCU